rnacentral:rRNA from 1 species
AUUGAACGCUGGCGGCAGGCCUAACACAUGCAAGUCGAGCGCGCGGCGGGCGGGUGUAUAAUGUGUGGGUAACUGCCUGAUGGAGGGGGAUCAACACGGGAAACGAGAUCUAAUACCGCAUACCAUCAGAUGUGCCCAGAUGGGAUUAGCUAGUAGGUGGGGUAAUGGCUCACCUAGGCGACGAUCCCUCGCGGGUCUGAGAGGAUGACCAGCCACACUGGAACUGAGACACGGUCCAGACUCCUACGGGAGGCAGCAGUGGGGAAUAUUGCACAAUGGGCGCAAGCCUGAUGCAGCCAUGCCGCGUGUGUGAAGAAGGCCUUAGGGUUGUAAAGCACUUUCAGCGUGGAGGCGUUACUCGCAGAAGAAGCACCGGCUAACUCCGUGCCAGCAGCCGCGGUAAUAC